CCAUACUCAAAGCAAUUCAUGGUACGAGAAUAGCGAAGAAGGUCGUUCAAUUAAAAGUUGAAAACGUCAAGGAUCCUUCUCGUCUCGCACAAAGCUAGUUAUUUUUUUAGAAAAGUUUAUUACUAUAAAUAUCACAAACCAACUUGAUUUUUUAAAUUUUAUUUUUUUGCUCUGAUAGAAAACUUUUUUCAAAAUGGAUUUUUUCCAAUAAUAGGAGAAAAAUAUUUGGCGCUACUCUGCUCAAUUUCAUCAAUAUUCACAAAUCAAUAGGCCAUCUCAUACAAUGUGGAGAGCCUAUCUUGUAGGUUGCUAGCAAUAUCUUGAGGAAGUGAUGGUUCGUACCAGCAAUAAAGUCUUAGACGGCCAAAUCAUCCGAGGCUUUCUUGAUGAUCGUGGUGGUUGUGUUGAAACAACGAAUAAAGUUACCGAGGGAUUCAUUCUCUAUUUAACGGAUGGACAUGAAGCACUUGGGAGAUUGUUGUAGAGUUUUAUUGGCUAGGAAUCAGCUCAUAAAUAGCCCAACUAAUAUAUUGAAUGAAACCUUUUGGCAAAGACAAAUACCACGCUCAGACGAUAUAGGAAACGGUCAUGUGGUUAUUAUUGUGAGCUGGAUGGUCCUCCGGGUCCCCCACACCUAUAUAGGAAAACUUUGGAAAAUUUAAAGAAAACCAAGAGCUUGAAGGCUAGAACUUUCAGGACAAGAGGUUCAUUGGAGUAACUCCAAGAGGUUUCAUCUAUUUUGACCCCCUCUAACUUCUUGCAAAACUUCCAUCUUAAGGGUUUAACGUGCUCCUCCAAGGAAAAAUUGUUAGCAUAAGUGUUCUGGGAGCCAACUGGAUGGUUGUUGUCAACAAGUAGGUCAUUAGGCUAAUGACGCUCAAGGUUUCUGUGGAUGGUAGGCUAAGCCUCAUCGUCUAGGUUGACCAAGUUGCCCCUCUUGUGAUCUCAAUAGGUGCUUUGAACUCAACUAUUAGUUGCUCAUUCUGAGCUUUCUUAUAGUCAAUGAGGUGUUAGCGCUCUUACUGCUAUUGAAAGCAGUGUUGCUGCUUAAAAAGCUACUUCUUCAUACGCCUCAGUUUUUCCUACAUCUCAAUAACUUAAUGUUGGGAGCCAGAGUGCUGCUGAUAAGUGGCUUGGUCUAGAGGAGUGGCAGUGACUGCUAUUUGAGGAGGUAGGGGUAGCGAGGUAGGAAGAGAGAGCGUACUGCAAAUAUUGGGCAAGGUACUCCUUGGGAUCAUGUGAUGUGGUUCUAAAGGUCUAUUGAGAGUAAGAAGAGAUAGGUUGAGCAAGGUUGUAGGUUGGCGAUAUUAAGGAUGAUGGAAGUACAUGAGAAAGUGGUGGCAGAGGUUAAGAGAGUGAUAGAACCGGAGGAUGUCGAGAAAAUAUCAAUAUUUUGGGUUUAAGGUUUGGUAAAAAGGAACAAAAGGGUUGUUCAACCUCAAUGAUUGAGUCAAAACAGUGGGGUUUUGGUUUAAAGAGGGUUUAGAAGUGAUGGGAUUGAUAGGAUUCGUCGGAGCUAACGAGUUUACGGGGUUUGUGGAGUUAGCUAGGUUUGCUAGGUUGAUGAGGGAAUUGUUCUGAGAAGAAGUCAUGGUAAGGCCCACGCUCACUGUACCAAUUGUUGAUGAAAGGUAUCAACAAGGAUGGAGAUGAGGAGAAGGUGGUGGUGCAAAAGAGGUUAGUUCACCUAGACAGACAGAGAGCCAAAGAAGGAUAUGAGGAAGAGUAAGGUUACUGUGAGGGUUGAGAAGGCUGAGUGCAGAAAGU
rnacentral:lncRNA from 1 species